rnacentral:rRNA from 1 species
AGGGUUUGAUCAUGGCUCAGAACGAACGCUGGCGGCGUGGAUAAGACAUGCAAGUCGGACGAGAACUUUCGGUGUAGCAAUACACUGGAAGUUCUAGUGGCGAACGGGUGCGUAACACGUGGACAAUCUACCUUAAAGUGGGGGACAGCUCGGCGAAAGCCGGAUUAAUACCGCAUGUGAUCAGCCAAGACAUCUUGGCGAAAUUAAAGUCGGGGCAACCUGACGCUUUUUGAGGAGUCCGCGGCCUAUCAGCUUGUUGGUGAGGUAACGGCUCACCAAGGCUUUGACGGGUAGCUGGUCUGAGAGGACGACCAGCCACACUGGAACUGAGACACGGUCCAGACACCUACGGGUGGCAGCAGUCGAGAAUUUUUCUCAAUGGGGGAAACCCUGAAGGAGCGACGCCGCGUGGAGGAUGAAGGUCUUCGGGUUGUAAACUCCUGUCAUUUGGGAACAAUGCUUACGUAUUAACUGUACGUGAGUUGAUAGUACCAGAAGAGGAAGAGACGGCUAACUCUGUGCCAGCAGCCGCGGUAAUACAGAGGUCUCAAGCGUUGUUCGGAUUCAUUGGGCGUAAAGGGUGCGUAGGCGGCGCGGUAAGUCGGGUGUGAAAUUUCGGAGCUUAACUCCGAAACUGCAUUCGAUACUGCCGUGCUUGAGGACUGGAGAGGAGACUGGAAUUUACGGUGUAGCAGUGAAAUGCGUAGAGAUCGUAAGGAAGACCAGUGGCGAAGGCGGGUCUCUGGACAGUUCCUGACGCUGAGGCACGAAGGCCAGGGGAGCAAACGGGAUUAGAUACCCUAGUAGUCC